rnacentral:rRNA from 1 species
UACGUAGGUGGCAAGCGUUAUCCGGAAUUACUGGGCGUAAAGCGCACGUAGGCGGCUUUGUAAGUUAGAGGUGAAAGCCUGGAGCUCAACUCCAGAAUUGCCUUUAAGACUGCAUCGCUUGAAUCCAGGAGAGGUGAGUGGAAUUCCGAGUGUAGAGGUGAAAUUCGUAGAUAUUCGGAAGAACACCAGUGGCGAAGGCGGCUCACUGGACUGGUAUUGACGCUGAGGUGCGAAAGCGUGGGGAGCAAACAGG